rnacentral:rRNA from 1 species
UACGGGGGAGCAAGCGUUGUUCGGAUUUACUGGGCGUAAAGGGCGCGUAGGCGGUCAGCACAAGUCAGUUGUGAAAUCUCCGGGCUUAACUCGGAAAGGUCAACUGAUACUGUGCGACUAGAGUGCGGAAGGGGCAACUGGAAUUCUCGGUGUAGCGGAUGAAUGCGUAGAUAUCGAGAGGAACACCUGCGGCGAAGGCGGGUUGCUGGGCCGACACUGACGCUGAUGCGCGAAAGCCAGGGGAGCGAACGGG